rnacentral:lncRNA from 1 species
AAUCCGUUGGACAGGCGGAUUCGCAUCUCUUACAACCCACACAAUCUUCGGUUCUCGGCGCGGAAGCAAUUUGCUUGGCUUUACAUCCAUCCCAAGGUAUCAUUUCUAAUACAUCUGUUGGGCAAGCUCGUACACAUUGAGUGCAUCCUAUACAUGUAUCAUAAAUUUUUACAGAAUGUGACAUUGGAUCUCUAAAUUUUCCUUUUCAACAUAAAAAUUUUCGAUCUGGUAAAAAUGAAAUUAGUACUAUAUAAAUUAGAUGUAUUGUAGACACCAGACGAAGCAAUAGUUUAUCCAAACUUUAACAAAUAAUGCAAUAUAUUUCGUAAUCUGUUUGUGAGAAAGCGUGAAAAGAGCCAAGAGACUUGAAUUUAAGGCUUCAACAGUUAUAAUUAUACAAAUUCUACAUACUAAUUCGAAUUAGCCAAUAAAUUGGCUAUCAUCUUUUCAAUAUAAAUUAUUGCAAUAUUCAAAUUGCAAUAUCAAUGAAUUGCAAAAAUGCAAUAUUCAAUAAGUAAAAAACAAUACUCUGAAAUAACCUACUCAAAAAAAGGAUAUUAUUAAACACUAAUAAGAAAAUAAGAUUAGAUUUCUAUUCAUCUUAAUGUUUCUUAUUAUUAUAUAUGCCCCUUUGUUUAGGGGAUUCUAUGUCUAAUUAUUCAAAAAAUUGGAUUGAUUGAUACGAGUUGAUUUCCUGUUACGAUGGAUGGAAGAAAGAAUGGAUAGUCCAAUAGCUGCUUCAGCAGCCGCAAGGGCUAUAACAAAAUUGCGAAAAUGUCUCCUUUUAAUUGGCGACUAUCAAAUAGAUCAGAAAAUGUUACGAGAUUUAGAUUAAUUGAAUUUAGUAUAAGUUCAAGACAUAUUAGAGCUCUAACCAUGUUUUGGCUUGUGAUCAAUCCAUAGAUACCAAUCGAAAAUAAAUAGACACUCAAAAAAAGUACAUGCUCAAACAUCAUUAACUACCUCCUUAUCAAUCUCGAUUCAUUUCAAUAUGAGGACAAGAAUUGAACUGAUUCAAUUAACUAGAAUAGAACAAUUACGCAACAAAAGAGAAAAGAAGGUAUUUGUUGUAUUGGCAGUAGAUGGGUUUUACUAAAUCAAAAUUGUGAUUCUUUAGUUAUUUAUUUUAUAUUUGAAAUUCUAAGAAUUUUGACUCAUUCUAAGUAUUUCUUAUUGUCGAGCCAUAGUAAUUACCUAUUAAAGAAACUACAAGAAUUAGGGAAAUGAGUUCAAAUGGAAGAUAAAAAUCGGUUGCUAAAUGAAUCCCAAUUUGUUGAACGUUAUUUAUGAGACCCUGUUCUACUAUUUGGUUUGAUCUUGUAGUCCAAAGAAUUCCAUGCCACGACGUAUCUGGGAUAGUAGUCAUUAGUGAAAAAGGAAUAGUUAUACAAAGGAGUAAAGUAAACCCAUCUCCAAUAGUCCAAUAAUUCUUAUCUUUAGACCACUCUGAGCCGUUUACAAACAUUACAACAAAUAUGAUCAAGACAUUUAUGGCUCCCACAUAAAUAAGAAGUUGUGCGAUAGCUACAAAGUAGGAAUUUAAUAAAAAAUAGAAUAAGGAUAUACAAACAAGAACUAAUCCCAGCGAAAAGGCAGAAUAAAUUGGGUUGGUAAGUAAUACUACUCCUAGACCUCCUAGUAGAAGACCAAAUCCCCCAAAUAGCACAAGAAUCUCAUGUAUUGGUCCAGGUAAAUCCAUUAUGGAUAAGAAGAAAUUUCUAGUAUAAAAUUUUUCAUGAACUGACUAAAACUAAAAGAUUCAAGGAAGGAAAAAGGUAUUAGGAUAUUUUUUUGUAUAUACAUAUAAGUUGUUAAUCAGUAGUUAUUCUUUUUCGUUAGAGUUAGUAAAAAUGGAUUUUUCUAAUAAAAAAAAUCCUAAUACCUAGUAAUCUGUAAUCGUUCUUGAAUUCCAAGAUUUUUCUUCGUCUAUUUUACUUUGAGGCAAAUUUCUAAUUGUUUGAAUUGUGUAAUCUCCCAUUAUGGUAACCGACUCAAAGCAAUCUGAUUGUAAUUCAAUUCAUGACGAUCAUAAGUAGAAAGUUCAUAUUCUUCAGUCGUUGAUAAACAACUUGUGGGACAGUAUUCAACACAGUUACCGCAAAAUAUACAAACUCCGAAAUCAAUACUAUAAUUAAGCAAUUGUUUUCUUUUAAUAUCCUUUUCAAAUCUCCAAUCCACAAAGGGUAGAUCUAUCGGGCAUACGCGAACACAUACUUCACAAGCAAUGCAUUUAUCAAAUUCAAAGUGUAUUCGCCCCAGGAAACGCUCCAAUGUAAUUGAUUUUUCAUAAGGGUAGUGAAUCGUUAUAGGUAAACGAUUUGUGUGGGAUAAGGUAAUUAUGAAACUUUGACCAAUGUAUCUUGCGGCGCGUAUUGUUUGUUGACCAUAAGUAAUGAACCCAGUUAGCAUAGGGAACAUAUUCUAAAUCUAUAUAUGAAAAAGGUAUGUUUCUUUCUCUUGUUUGAGAGAACGUUUGUGUUGAAAAUAUUCUUACUGUUAUUGUAUUCUUAUUUAUAGUGAAACUAGUUGGGAAGAAGUUGUUAAUAAGAGAUUGCCCAGAGAAAUAGGUAAAAGAAAUUUCCAUCCAAGAUUUAAUAACUGAUCCAUUCUCAUUAUGGGUAAAGUCCAUCUUAUUGUGAUAGAAAUGAAGAGAAAUAAAUAAGCUUUAGUUAAUGUAAUAAAGAUACCUAUUACCAUUUCCAAAAUUCCAAUUAUUUUAUUCAUUUGGAAAAAUCCAAAAAAGGAUAUAUAGGGAAUAGAGAAAUUCCACCCGCCUAAGUAUAGAACAGUUACAAAUAAAGAGGAAACUAAUAAAUUUAGGUAAGAAACAAGAUAAAAUAAACCAUAUUUAAUACCAGAAUAUUCGGUUUGAUAACCUGCUACUAAUUCUUCUUCUGCUUCUGGUAAAUCAAAGGGUAAUCUUUCACAUUCUGCCAAAGAAGAAAUUAGAAAAACUAGAAAACCUAUAGGCUGACGCCAAAUAUUCCAUCCAAAAAAACCAUAUUUGGACUGUGCUUCAACUAUAUCAACUGUACUUGAACUAUUAGAUAAUCAUAGUCGAUGAUAACAUCACAGUUCUCACCGCUAUUCCAAAACCGUACAUGAAACCUUAGCUUCAUACGGCUCCUCUAUGAUCAGAAAAAAGGAAAGGAUUGUUUCGUUUCGGUAUCAUCCUCUGGGCAUAGAUAGAAUUAGAUAAGAUAAAAUUGAUUGGAAAGCCCAAAAUUAGACCAAAGCAAUUACGUCUGCUAGAAUAACAAAAAAGCGCUUCCGAAUUGAUCUCAUCCUUUAUAUAAUAUAAUUUUGCUUUGUUCGGUAAUAACUUAAUAUUGGAAUAAAUCACUCGUUGUAGCAAUUAAUAAAUGGAAAGAAUUUGGCAUUAGUUCAUGAGGAAUUCUGUAUGAAUAGGGAUAAAGGAAGGAAAGAAUAAAUAAAGAUCUUUUUUGUAUUGUAUUCCUUAUCUUUUGUCCUACUCUUCUUUCCCUAGGAGGGGUAUACUUAAAAAAAGAAUAAAGGGUUAAUUCGUUCUUGAUAGCCAUUUCCUUAACAAGUGAAUGGGAACAUACUCUAGACCGGAAUCUGAAGAAAGUACGGCUUGAUCAUUUCCACCAAUUUCAAGUCCUUAUUAUGAUUCCUUUUAUGACGAAAAAUGUCUAAUGAUUUAGAUUCUCUCAUUACUAAUCUUGUAUGUACUUUAGUGUUCCUAAUCCCUCACUAAAUUUUGAUCGAUUGCCUUGUGGUUAUAAGUUUAAAUUAUAGUAAUAACUCAAAAUAUUCUAGUAAUGGAAUUCCAUAUCGCGAAUCUUUUAUUCUUGCCCGCUUCAAGAUAUGAUGACUAAUCAAACAAUCUCAACCUUGGGGUUAAGAGUUUACACUGCUUAUGUUUACUUGAACUUUUUUCUUGUACGUAGGAAAUGAGAUUUUUUACUUUUACUACAAAUUAAUAAGCUGUUUUGUUUCACUCAUAUAGCUAUCGAGUUUAACUUACCAACGCGAAUACAGAAUAAGCAAAGGAAGAUAAGCAUUCAAUGUAUUUUAGAGGAAAAAGAUCCUAUUUUAACGAAUCACACGUAGAGAUAUUGCUAGUACACAAAAAGUUAAUGGUAUUUCAUAACUAAUAGAUUGAGCAGCCGCUCGUAGACCGCCUGAAAAAGAAUAUUUAUUAUUUGAGCUAUAUCCUGCCAUGAGAAGACCAAUAGGAGCAAUACUUGAAAUCGCAAUCCAUAAAAAACACCAAUACUAAGAUCAGCUAAAACAAAACGAUAUCCUAAAGGGAUAACUAAAAAACUUAAUAAAAUGGAUAUGACUGCUAUAGAGGGACCAAUGCUAAAUAAAGGAAUAUCUCCUCGGGAUGGGAGGAUAUCCUCUUUUAAAAGUAGUUUAGUUCCAUCUGCUAUAGCUUGAAGCAGUCCCAGGGGGCCAGCAUAUUCAGGACCAAUACGUUGUUGUAUCGAUGCGGAUAUUUCUCUUUCUAACCACACAAUUACGAGUACUUCUAUUGUGAUUCCCAGUAGGAGGGCAAAAAUGGGUAGAAUCCAUAUAAGUUCGUAGAUUUCUUUAAAUAAUUCUGAUUUCGAAAAAGAAUUGAUAGUUUCUACCUCUACCCUAUCUAUUAUCAUUUCAACGAUCAACUUCCCCCAUAAUGAUAUCUAUACUACCUAAUAUUGUCAUGAUAUCAGCCAAUUUCAUUUUUUUAACUAGAUGAGGAAGAAUUUGCAAAUUAAUAAAACCCGGUGGACGAAUUUUCCAUCUCCAGGGGAAAAGACUAUCAUCUCCUACCAGAUAAAUUCCUAAUUCGCCUUUUGGAGCUUCUACUCUUACAUAAAGCUCUUGCUUUGAUAAUUCAGAAUUGGGCGAAGGUUUUUUACCAAGAAAUCGAUAUUCAAAAUCAUUCCAUUCGGGAUUCUUUGCUUUCUUAAAGCGUCGGGCUUCUAAAUUCUCAUAAGGUCCUCUAGGAAUUUUCUCUACAGCCUGUUGAAUAAUUUUUAUGGAUUCCCUCAUUUCACCGACUCGUACUAAAUAGCGAGCUAACGAAUCUCCUUCUUUUUGCCAUUGGACUUUCCAAUCGAAUUGAUUGUAAGACUCAUAAGGAUCAAUUUUACGAAGAUCCCAUUGUAUUCCAGAAGCUCGUAACAUUGGUCCCGAUAAGCCCCAAUUUACAGCUUCUUCUCCGCUAAUAAAACCGACUCCUUCAACUCGUUCUAAAAAAAUGGGAUUCUGUGUAAUAAGUUCUUGAUAUUCAACAACUCCUUGUAAAAAAUAAUCACAGAAAUCUAAACAUUUAUCCAUCCAUCCAUAAGGGAGAUCGGCAGCGACUCCUCCGAUGCGAAAGUAAUUAUGCAUCAUUCGCAUACCUGUAGCAGCUUCAAAUAGAUCAUAUAUCAAUUCUCUCUCUCUCUAAAAAUGUAGAAAAAGGGAGUCUGUGCCCCGAGAUCCUCCAUAAAAGGUCCAAGCCAUAACAAAUGAGAAGCUAUACGGCUCAAUUCUAACAUAAUUACUCUAAUAUAGUUGGCUCUUUUGGGUAAUUGAAUAUUCUCUAAGAAUUCUGGUGCAUUUACCGUUAUUGCUUCUGUAAACAUAGUAGCUAAAUAAUCCCAUCGUGUUACAUAAGGCAAGUAUUGUAUAAUACUUCUGUUUUCCGCGAUUUUUUCCAUUCCUCUGUGUAAAUACCCUAAUAUGGGUUCACAAUCAAUAACAUCUUCACCAUCGAGAGUAACAAUCAGUCGAAGAACACCAUGCAUUGAUGGGUGUUGAGUGCCCAUAUUGACUAUCAUGAGAUCUUUUCUUUUAAGCGAUAGACUCAUAUCCUUGUUCUUAUUCUUUAUUCCAUGAAAAUGGAUUAUUCCAUGAAUUCCUCAAAACGAGGCUCAUCAAAAUACAAAAUCUAAUACUACUAUAAGACUACUAAUAAAAUAAGAAAAAAAUGAGAACGAUUAAAUUACUUCUCCCGAAUAUCCAACUGACUUAUUAAUUUCUUAUAACGUACUCUAUUUUUCUUUACCAAAUAAGCCAGCAAACUUUGACGUUUUCCCAAAAGUCUUCGUAGACCUCUUUCCGAUGAAAAAUAUUUUUUGUGUAAUUCUAAAUGUGAAGCAAGUCUCCGUAUCUUAUUAGUGAAACUGAAUACUUGAAAUUCAACAGAACCCCUGUUUUCUUGUUUUUCUUCUUUAACCAUAAAUCAACAAAUUUUUCUACCUCCUUUCUUUUUCAUGUAUUUUUUUGGUCAGGAAAAAUAAAAAAUUAUGUCAGUUAUUUUUAAGUUAUUCUAAUCUCGUACACACAAAAAUUUGCAAUUAUUCAUCUACUGCUAGAAUCUGGAAUUUGGAUUUAUUUUAUCGAUGCAAAUUGGAUUUGGAUAGAAGGGUACAUUCAUUUAUUUUAGAUAGAAGAAACAUUUCUUCUAUCUAAAAUAAAAGAAUUUUUCUGAUUUAUUUAUUGUUAUAUCCAAUUUAUAGAAUUGAUAUACCAUUUAAUUGAUAUCAUUUAGCAAAAUGAAACACAGCAUAUGCAUCCAUCUUUGGGCUUGAGAAUUUCACGGGAUAGAGAUAUAGUAUAAGAAAUAGGCUAUUAAGUAACUCUAAAUGAAUUGUGGAUACAUCUGUAUCCUUAACAAACUGAAACGACUGCCAUUAUUCGUAUCAAACCAAUAGCGAUUCAUAAAAGCUAAAUCUUGUAAUCAAUGGUGGGCCAAUAAUGAAUUUUUUUGCAUAUGUAUUAAGAUGCUUGGUCUGAUUUCGAAAUUGUCCAGAGUUUUUUAUGUUGUUUUCAUUGCAAAAUGAUGGAUCUCCUUCCGUAACUUCCCAAUUACGAGUAUGAGAAUUGAAAGACAUGAAAAUUCUCAAUUCUCUACGGCGUCUAGGAGAUGGAUCGAAUAUUUUCAGGAACAAGAAAAUCAGAAGAAUCUUUUUUCUCUAUUCACUACCAUUCCGCGUCUUCGACUUCUAUUAGUUCCUUUUCUUCUUUAAUGCAAUAGCUAUAGUUUGAUAUAGAAUCCAUUUCUCAAAGUAAUGGAAACCAUUCUCUUAUAGGAAAUGGUACGAAAAUCGCUAUUCCACCUUUUAGGUUUAGGUAUCGUGAAAAGUGAUACCUGUGAAGAUCGUGCAUUUCAGUCACAUUCAGAUCCGUUUUUCGAGUCCAUGAUAUAACCAAAUUGGAUGGAUCUUCCACCUGUUUAGCUAAGAAAGAAUAGAUGCAGAGGUGGAUAAUAGAUCGAUAUGAAGAUCAUGAGCUGCCCCAUAAUGAAACCGCCAAUAGUCGUGAAUAUCUCCUUCUUCCCUAACCCAAGAUUGGAGAAAGAAGAUCUAAGAGGGACCUAUGGAGAAUGUGGUCAGAAAUCCAUAAUAGAGUCCGACCACAACGACCAAAUUAAUUAUCCUCAUCGAGAAACUUAGACUACUUUAGACUACUUAAGUAGAAAAGAUUUGAAAAUCAUGGCAUGGGUCUCCUUUUUUUCUUUCUUUAGAGUUUUCUAUAUGCACAAUUUCUCGAUGUUUCGAUGAG